rnacentral:lncRNA from 1 species
GCUCCAAUUGGAUCCCUAGCCUAGGAACCUCCAUAUGCCAUGGGUAUAGCCCUAAAAAGACACAUAUGUACAGAAAAAAUUUUAAAAAUAAGAAUGUUUUUCUUUCAAAAUGAAUAACACUAUCUAAAAACUGUUCACAAGGCAAACAAGAAAAACACAAAACUUGCAAUGAGCUAUAAAAACAUCUAUAAGAUGACAGAACUUAGUGUUAUGUAUUCAUUUGCUACUAAACAAAUGACUUACACAGGAGGAGUAUACCCCUAAAGGAAAGGAAUUGAGCAGUGCUUGUCAUUUAAGUGAAAACAGUUUAUGUGUCAUAGCAACAUAUUAUUUAGGCAAUUCCAUAUGAAUAGACAUGCGCAAGACUGUUUUUAAAAAAUUUACCGCAAUUUUCCUUACCCAUUUAAAAUUCAAAAAUAAGCAGAGAUAGUAAAAAGAAGCUUUAUUCUAAGGAAUGGUUGCCCCCACCACACAAAUUAGCAAAGUAUAAACAUGUAGCACUAUUGUUUUCAAUGUAAUUAAAUUUCAUAUAUAUGUACAAGAGGAUGCCAAGACCAUUCAAUGGAGUGCUGGAAAAACUGAAUAUCCAUAAGCAAAAGAAUGAAGUUGGACCUUUACCUAAAACCAUAUUCAAAUGCUAACUUAAAAUGGACCAAAGACCUAUAUAUAAUAGCUAAAACUGUAAAACUCUUAGAACACACAGCAGACAAGCUUCAUGAUUUUGGAUUUAGCAAUGAUUUCUUGGACACCAAAAGCACAGUCAAGAAAAAACAGAUAAAGUGGCCAUCAUUAAAAUGAAAAGCUUUGGUACAUCAAAGGACCCUAUCUACAGAAGUGAAAAGGCAAACCACAGAUAAAAUAUUUGUAAAUCAUGUAUCUGAGAUUAGUAUCUAGAGUCUAUAAAGAAUUUCUACAACUCAACAAAAAAACAGAUUUUAAAAACUAGUAAAGGACUCCAAUAGACAUUUCUACAAAGAUACACAAAUGGCCAAUAAGCACAUGAAAAGAUGCUUGAUAUCACUAAUCAUUAGAAAAAUGCAAAUCAAAACCACAAAGAGAUAGGACUUCACAGUCACUAGGCUGUGGCUAUCAACAAAAACACAAAUGUGCUGAGGUGAGGAUGGAGAAACUGGAACCCUUGUGCUGGUAGGAAUGUAAAACACUACCGCUGCUAUAGAAAACAGCAUGGCAGUUCCUCAAAA